UCGCCCCUUCCCCCAUUUCAAAAAAAAGGACAUGUUCAAGUCAUUUUUUGAGGUUGCAAAGGGAAGUAGUAUUGUUCUUGCAAUGAAGCUGCAAAGACUUGGUAGAUUAUCCUUUACUGAAGUUUAAGUCUAACUGUGAUGAUUUGAACUUUGAAGCAUCAAAUCGUAAUAAUUGGUUGCUGCUCUAGGAAUUCGCUUCAUGAAGAUUCUUUAGCUUUCUCUACCUGUCAUACUUGUUGGCUGCCACAUCUCUUUUUCUAAAUUACUCAACUGCUCAUCUUUCAGAGUUUCGGACACAAACUAGGAUAGUUCUUGUGACACUGCUUAUAUCUGUAGACUGAGCAGAAAGAUUUCACAUCUGUGUACCAGUUUAUGUUAGAAAACAAUGCCAAAGCUUGAGAUCUACAUUGUGAAUGUGGUGAUUCAAACUGUAAAUCAGCUGUAGCUUCUGUCCUCAUAACAGGAGCCAAUAAGACUAUGGUCAAUCGAGGAGUAUUCAUAGCUGUUAGUCAUCACUUUCCUGUUUUGGUUCAAAAAUUCUGAUAUCUUCUCGUCCUGAAGAUAUUUUUGAGUUAGCCAAGGAAGAUGUAUUGUUCAAGCAAUGAAGUUGCACAAAACUUGGAGUAUCUUCCAACAUUCAAGCCUAAGCACAAUGUUUUGGAGCAUUCCGGUUGUUAAUGAAGCCUACUUGUUGCUACUUGCUGCUUUUAGUGAAUCCACCUUGAUAAAGUCUCUCAAGCUCUCUCUGUUUUUAUGAUUGUUGGUUGCUAGGAUUUUUAUGUGAUUUUAGGCCCAAAGCUCAACAGGGAACCUCAUCAAUGCUUUUAAACGUCCAAAUGAUUAAGCUAUUUGUAGUCAUGAUAAUGAGGUG